AACUUUCGACAACGGAUCUCUUGGCUCUUGCAACGAUGAAGAACGCAGUGAAAUGCGAAAAGUAAUGCGAUUUGCAUGAAUCUGUGAGUCAUCAAGUUUUUGAACGCACCUUGCACUCUUUGCUCAAGUAAAGAGUAUACCUGUUUGAGAAUCGAAUAUACCAUCGCCUCUAGAUAGAGACGGACUUGGCCCUCACACCCAGUGAGAGGGCUAGAAUGCAGCAGGCUUUGAACUAGGCGGGCUGUCUAGACAUUGUGUGAUAAGAGGGGAAACCUCGUAUUCGCAAUGAGUCUAGACAUGUCCCCUAACCUCAAGCCUCUCCUAAUAACCAUCUCAUACGCGAUCUCAAAUCAGGUAAGGCUACCCGCUGAACUUAAGCAUAUCAAUAAGCGGAGGCU
rnacentral:misc_RNA from 1 species